rnacentral:rRNA from 1 species
AGCUGGUAGCACAGAGAGCUUGCUCUCGGGUGACGAGCGGCGGACGGGUGAGUAAUGUCUGGGAAACUGCCUGAUGGAGGGGGAUAACUACUGGAAACGGUAGCUAAUACCGCAUAAUGUCGCAAGACCAAAGUGGGGGACCUUCGGGCCUCAUGCCAUCAGAUGUGCCCAGAUGGGAUUAGCUAGUAGGUGGGGUAACGGCUCACCUAGGCGACGAUCCCUAGCUGGUCUGAGAGGAUGACCAGCCACACUGGAACUGAGACACGGUCCAGACUCCUACGGGAGGCAGCAGUGGGGAAUAUUGCACAAUGGGCGCAAGCCUGAUGCAGCCAUGCCGCGUGUGUGAAGAAGGCCUUCGGGUUGUAAAGCACUUUCAGCGGGGAGGAAGGCGGUGAGGUUAAUAACCUUAUCGAUUGACGUUACCCGCAGAAGAAGCACCGGCUAACUCCGUGCCAGCAGCCGCGGUAAUACGGAGGGUGCAAGCGUUAAUCGGAAUUACUGGGCGUAAAGCGCACGCAGGCGGUCUGUCAAGUCGGAUGUGAAAUCCCCGGGCUCAACCUGGGAACUGCAUUCGAAACUGGCAGGCUAGAGUCUUGUAGAGGGGGGUAGAAUUCCAGGUGUAGCGGUGAAAUGCGUAGAGAUCUGGAGGAAUACCGGUGGCGAAGGCGGCCCCCUGGACAAAGACUGACGCUCAGGUGCGAAAGCGUGGGGAGCAAACAGGAUUAGAUACCCUGGUAGUCCACGCCGUAAACGAUGUCGAUUUGGAGGUUGUGCCCUUGAGGCGUGGCUUCCGGAGCUAACGCGUUAAAUCGACCGCCUGGGGAGUACGGCCGCAAGGUUAAAACUCAAAUGAAUUGACGGGGGCCCGCACAAGCGGUGGAGCAUGUGGUUUAAUUCGAUGCAACGCGAAGAACCUUACCUGGUCUUGACAUCCACAGAACUUUCCAGAGAUGGAUUGGUGCCUUCGGGAACUGUGAGACAGGUGCUGCAUGGCUGUCGUCAGCUCGUGUUGUGAAAUGUUGGGUUAAGUCCCGCAACGAGCGCAACCCUUAUCCUUUGUUGCCAGCGGUUCGGCCGGGAACUCAAAGGAGACUGCCAGUGAUAAACUGGAGGAAGGUGGGGAUGACGUCAAGUCAUCAUGGCCCUUACGACCAGGGCUACACACGUGCUACAAUGGCAUAUACAAAGAGAAGCGACCUCGCGAGAGCAAGCGGACCUCAUAAAGUAUGUCGUAGUCCGGAUUGGAGUCUGCAACUCGACUCCAUGAAGUCGGAAUCGCUAGUAAUCGUAGAUCAGAAUGCUACGGUGAAUACGUUCCCGGGCCUUGUACACACCGCCCGUCACACCAUGGGAGUGGGUUGCAAAAGAAGUAGGUAGCUUAACCUUCGUGAUGG